GGAAGUGAUCCGAAUGGUGAGGGAGCCGCCUCGAAAGCGGUUGCCCCGUAAGGGGUUGCAGGUUCGAGUCCUGUCACUUCCG
rnacentral:tRNA from 1 species